AUAUUAUUCCUAUUAGAGAAGUUGCAAGAUGACAAUAGAGUAAUGAUAGCUGAUGGAGUGGUGCAUAUGAUAUCAUAGGAGCACAUGGAUGCAGAUAUUUGGGAUAUUAGAGGUUGAAGAAUGAUUUUCAGGAAGCAGAACCUCACUCUCCAGAGUUGACGCAUCUGCUUGCUGGGAGAUCAUCGGGCUAACUUGACAUGACAGAGUUCUGCUGUCAAAGGAACUUUAAUUUCUCCCCUUCAAGUUUUAUUAUUGUCUAUACUGUAAUGCCAACCAUAUCAUGUAUUUCA